UGGGGAAUAUUGGACAAUGGGCGAAAGCCUGAUCCAGCCAUGCCGCGUGUGUGAAGAAGGCCUUUUGGUUGUAAAGCACUUUAAGCGAGGAGGAGGCUACUUGGAUUAAUACUCUAGGAUAGUGGACGUUACUCGCAGAAUAAGCACCGGCUAACUCUGUGCCAGCAGCCGCGGUAAUACAGAGGGUGCGAGCGUUAAUCGGAUUUACUGGGCGUAAAGCGUGCGUAGGCGGCUUUUUAAGUCGGAUGUGAAAUCCCUGAGCUUAACUUAGGAAUUGCAUUCGAUACUGGGAAGCUAGAGUAUGGGAGAGGAUGGUAGAAUUCCAGGUGUAGCGGUGAAAUGCGUAGAGAUCUGGAGGGAUACCGAUGGCGAAGGCAGCCAUCUGGCCUAAUACUGACGCUGAGGUACGAAAGCAUGGGGAGCAAACAGG
rnacentral:rRNA from 1 species